rnacentral:rRNA from 1 species
CAAGUCGAACGAGAAAGUGGAGCAAUCCAUGAGUACAGUGGCGUACGGGUGAGUAACACGUGGGUGAUCUACCUUUUAGUGAGGAAUAACCGAGGGAAACUUUGGCUAAUACCGCAUAAGCCUGAGAAGGGAAAGCAGAAAUGCGCUGAAAGAGGAGCCCGCGGCCGAUUAGCUAGUUGGUGGGGUAAGAGCCCACCAAGGCAGAGAUCGGUAGCCGGCCUGAGAGGGCACACGGCCACACUGGCACUGAAACACGGGCCAGACUCCUACGGGAGGCAGCAGUGGGGAAUCUUGCACAAUGGGGGAAACCCUGAUGCAGCGACGCCGCGUGAGCGAUGAAGCCCUUCGGGGUGUAAAGCUCUUUCGUCAGGGAAGAUAGUGACGGUACCUGGAGAAGCAGCUGCGGCUAACUACGUGCCAGCAGCCGCGGUAAUACGUAGGCAGCAAGCGUUGUUCGGAGUUACUGGGCGUAAAGGGUGUGUAGGCGGUUCCUUAAGUUUGCUGUGAAAUCUCCCGGCUUAACCGGGAGGGUGCGGUGAAUACUGAGGGACUAGAGUACGGGAGAGGAAAGUGGAAUUCCUGGUGUAGCGGUGAAAUGCGUAGAUAUCAGGAGGAACACCGGUGGUGUAGACGGCUUUCUGGACCGUAACUGACGCUGAGACACGAAAGCGUGGGUAGCAAACAGGAUUAGAUACCCUGGUAGUCCACGCCCUAAACGAUGCAUAUUUGGUGUGGGCAGUUCAUUCUGUCCGUGCCGGAGCUAACGCGUUAAAUAUGCCGCCUGGGGAGUACAGUCGCAAGGCUGAAACUCAAAGGAAUUGACGGGGGCCCGCACAAGCGGUGGAGCAUGUGGUUCAAUUCGACGCAAGGCGAAGAACCUUACCUGGGCUCGAACGGCUUCUCAACGGCGGUGGAAACACUGCUACCCCC